rnacentral:ncRNA from 1 species
GGGUUCGGAAGGUUCCUUCCGGAGGUUGUUUAGAUAGUCGGGCCGCUAUCU